AAAACUUUUCGCUAAUAGAAGAGCCUAUGUAGGAUUAGGUAGUUGGUAUUUUGGGUAAAAGCCUACCAAGCCUAAGAUCCUUAGCUGUUCUGAGAGGUUGAACAGCCACACUGGGACUGAGACAAGGCCCAGGCUCCAUUUGGAGCCAGCAGUGAGGAAUUUUGGACAAUGAGCGAAAGCUUGAUCCAGCAAUACUACAUGAGUGAAGAAGGCUUUCAAGUUGUAACACUCUUUGGUUGAGGAGGAUAAUGACAGUACUCAACAAAAUAGCCCCGGCUAACUUCGUGCCAGCAGCCGCGGUAAGACGAAGGGGGCGAGCGUUAUCCGGAAUGACUGGGCGUAAAGGGUCCGUAGGCAGCAUUUUUUGUUGGAAGUUAAAUAAAAAAGCUUAACUUUUUUCCGCUUCUAAAACGUAAAUGCUUUGAGUUUGAUAGAAGAUAGCAGAAUUUCACAAGGAGGGGUGAUAUCCAGAGAUCUGUGAAGGAAUAUCAGAUGCGAAGGCGGCUAUCUAGAUCAACACUGACGUUGAGGGACGAAAGCAUGGGGAGCAAACAGGAUUAGAUACCCUGGUAGUCCAUGCCCUAAAAGAUGAGUGUUCGUGCUUAGAGAACUUUAGGCACUUAGUUAACACGUUAAACACUCCGCCUGGGGAGUACGAUCGCAAGGUUGGAACUCAAAGGAAUUGACGGGGGCCUAUACAAGUGGUGGAGCAUGUGGUUUAAUGCGAUAAUACGCGCGAAACCUUACCAGUUCUUGACAUAAAAAAGAAAAAGUUUGAAAAAGCAAUUUUAAAGAUUUUUACAGGUGCUGCAUGGCUGUCGUAAGCUCGUGUCGUGAGAUGUUAGGUUAACUCCUUUUAACGGGCGAAACCCCUUUUUUUCGUUGCUACUUAAUUUUAUUUUUAAAGCACUCUAAAAAAACUGCUCCCUUUUUUUAAUUCGGAGAGGAAGGUGGGGAUGACGUCAAGUCCUUAUGGCCCUUAUGAACUGGGCUACACACGUGCUACAAUGGUAAAGACAAUAAGAAGUGAUAGGGUAACCUAAAACCAAUCUUUAAACUUUAUCAAAGUUCGGAUUGUGGACUGCAACUCGUCCAUAUGAAGGUGGAAUCACUAGUAAUCGCACAUCAGCAUGUUGCGGUGAAUUUGUACCUAGGCCUUGUACACACCGCCCGUCACGUGCCGGGAGUUGGC
rnacentral:rRNA from 1 species